GAUGAACGCUGGCGGCGUGCUUAACACAUGCAAGUCGAGCGAAGCACCUUGACGGAUUUCUUCGGAUUGAAGCCUUGGUGACUGAGCGGCGGACGGGUGAGUAACGCGUGGGUAACCUGCCUCAUACAGGGGGAUAACAGUUGGAAACGGCUGCUAAUACCGCAUAAGCGCACAGUACCGCAUGGUACGGUGUGAAAAACUCCGGUGGUAUGAGAUGGACCCGCGUCUGAUUAGGUAGUUGGUGGGGUAACGGCCUACCAAGCCGACGAUCAGUAGCCGACCUGAGAGGGUGACCGGCCACAUUGGGACUGAGACACGGCCCAAACUCCUACGGGAGGCAGCAGUGGGGAAUAUUGCACAAUGGGGGAAACCCUGAUGCAGCGACGCCGCGUGAGCGAUGAAGUAUUUCGGUAUGUAAAGCUCUAUCAGCAGGGAAGAAAAUGACGGU
rnacentral:rRNA from 1 species